UACGGGGGGGGGCAAGCGUUGUUCGGAAUUACUGGGCGUAAAAGGGCUCGUAGGCGGCCAACUAAGUCAGACGUGAAAUCCCCUCGGCUUAACCGGGGAACUGCAUCUGAUACUGGAUGGCUUGAGAUUGGGAGAGGGAUGCGGAAUUCCAGGUGUAGCGGUGAAAUGCGUAGAUAUCUGGAGGAACACCGGUGGCGAAGGGCGGCAUCCUGGACCAACACUGACACUGAUGAGCGAAAGCCAGGGGAGCAAACGGG
rnacentral:rRNA from 1 species